ACCACGUUGGCCAGUACAUCUUUCUAAAAAGCUAAAUAAGCCUCUUGCCCAUUUAAUAGCCCAGGAAUGUUUUUGUCCAGGACCUGAGUACCAUUUAUUUGAAAUGUUAAUCAUCAUGGAAGAUAGCACCAGUAUUUCCAAGUUUCUUUGGGAGAGUAGGAGACUACCAUUGGUAGGUACCUUGCUGAUAUGAAGGUGUUACAAUUGUAUUUUUCUUUUAGACAAAGCUAAUUACCUAACACAGAUGGUCACCCCUAUACCAAGUGAAUUUGGGAUGAAAUAUGUUGUGUGGCAAGAGGUGAUAUGGAGUCUUUUCCUUGAAGACUACAUAUUGCUUAUCUUGAUGGUAUGUGUGAAAUGGGCUGUAUCUGCUUGGGGUAAGAUUUUUUGUUUGUUUUUGUCUUUGCAAUCUCUUAGCAGAUUGUCUGUGAUGUGCACCAUCUUCUGGCUUAAACUUCAUUCAACAGUAAAUUGUUUUCCUUUUCUUCUGCCUUGUGAACAGGUCAUCUAGGUUGGGAGAUUUUAUUUCUAGUUAUAUUUCCUCAAGAACCCCAAGCACCCAGUCAAGUUUGAAUAAUGGAUAAAAUAAAUUUUUAUAUAAGUAAUUUUAUAAGUAAUUAUGUAAGUAAUUUUAGAAGUAUACUAGGACAGUAGUAUACUUCUGUCCUAAAUAUUGCACAUAUGGUUUGUUUACACGCAAAAUAGAAUUUAACUGGGUGUCCUGUAUUUGUAUUUGCUAAAUCUGGCAAUGCUACCCCUCCCUGCAGGGGCAUCUAGCAAUGUCUGAAGUCUUUUUCAGUUGUCACAACUGGAAUCUACAGGUGUUUAAAGGGUGGAGACCAGAGAUGCUAUUAAACAUCCUACAGGGCAUUACAAACGAACUGCAGAAAUACAAAGAAUCAUAAGAAUCUACUAUGUAAAAUGAUAUGCCAACAAGUUGGAUAACCCAGAAGAAAAGGACAAAUUCCUAGACAUAUACAGACCCCGUCAGAACAGAAGAGCAAGAGAAACCAAGGAGAAGAGACCAAGAAGAAUGAGAAGAGAUGAAGGUGAAGAGACAGAACCUUCUGAGCUACUCCUUCCCUGCUAAAUCCCAGGCACAUGCUCCAGAUUCCUUAGGCAAAGGAAGAAAUGAAAGGAGAGAAAGAGACCAAAAUUUUAAACUCUAUUAAAAAGGACUGCACUGAUAUUUAUACCCCAAAGAACCAAUGAUGCCAUGGGAUCUAACUAAGAUAUUAACAGAUAUGAAAAGAGAUUCAACAGAGUAGAGGAGCUUCAGAUAUAUACCUGUCGUGGUUUGGCUCUGUGUUUCCACCCAAAUCUCAUGUCAGAUUGUAAUCCCCACACGUUGAAGGAGGGGCCUGGUGGGAGGUGAUUGAAUCACGGGAGCAGACUUGUCCCUUGCUUUUCUAGCGAUGGAGUUCUCAGGAGAUCUGGUUGUUUGAAAGUGCGUGGCA
rnacentral:lncRNA from 1 species